GCAGGCGGAGUUACAUGUGGGUACCAGCACAUGAAGCGCGCGGUGGAAGCAUAAAAUGAGGUGGAGAACAGAUACAAAUCCAGUGUCUGACUUCUUCACUUGCACACCAAAUGAUUUAAUCCAAGCUCUGCUAAUGAGACUGCCACUAACAUUAUUAUUGAAGAUAAUCAUUUGUUUAACACAUAAUAGCAUGGGUAAGUAG